ACGAAUGUAGCAAGGGAACACCAUGGUUAGGGUUUGUUCAUCUUCCAAGCUUCAUGGUAAGUCCGUUCUAGCCCCGUUUUUCUUGUUCUUUAUAUUUUUAGAAUCCUGGUAACUUGCAUAAUCUAAUCCUACUAUUAAUUCGAGCUAGAAUUUAUGUUUGAAAAAUUACCCAUAGAUGAAAAGUGUGAAUUUUGAUGUUUCAUGACAUAAUAUGAAGCUUAGAGUUAUGUUAAACGAUUUUUGCUAAUCGAUUUUCAGCGAAAACGAGUAAAACGACAUAAUUGGUAAAAAUACCUAAUGCUCAUAAGUAAGUGUUAGAGUGGGAAUUUGAUGUUGGAUUAGAAGGGAAAAAUGUUCAGUAUGUCAUAAAACAUAAUAAUAAGAGAGGAAGUUUAAUUUCCGAGCUUUGGGGCUAAAGUGUAAAUAUGUAAAAGUUUAGGGGCAAAAUUGUAAUUUUUCCAAAGUUUGAGUUAAGGACUGCUUUGAUGAAUGUGCAUGUUAAAUAAGUCAAAUGUGUUAUUAUAGUUCAAGAAAGAAGUGGAAUCGACCUUAAUCGGAGAAAAGAAAAGAUUAAAGAUUAAAGACUAAAUUGCUAAAUUUUUAUAUUGUUGCACCAAAGUAAGUAUGCAUGUGAAUUAAUGUAUUAUUUUAAUGUUAUUCAAUAAAUUGUUGAGAUUUUAUUGAAUAUAGAAUAAAUAUUUGAUGUAGAAUAUAAAAAGUUGGUUAAGUUUGAGAAAGGUGGUAAAAUGUUGAAAAACAAGGUUUCCGACUGAACACUCGGAAUAGACCGGAAUACAUGGAAUAAAAAGGGGUUGCUAAGUGUUGAUUCCCCAAAUUAUUGAAUCUAAAGGUGGUUGCUAUGUGCUGAUUUCACCCUAUCUUUGAUUGUGAAAGGGGUUGCUAUGUGCUGAUUCCCCGUAUCAUUGAAUAUAAAGGUGGUUGCUAGGUGCUGAUUCCACCGUAUCCUUGAUUGUGAAAGGGGUUGCUAUGUGCUGAUUUCCCGUAUCACUGAAUUUAAGGUGGUUGCUAAGUGCUGAAUCCACCGAGUAACGGAUAAUAUUCUGAGUGUUCAACAGGGAAAUUGGAAAGGUAAAUGCAUAUGAAAUGGAUAAGAUUAUGUGAGGAAUAUUGGGUUUGAUAUUUAAUCGACCCAUGUGUAAGAAGGUAUGAAAUAUCAAAACUACAAAAAGUAAAUCUAGAAAUAAAAUAGUUUUAAACAACAACAGUUGAGCAACUUUGAAAAAUCACCAUAAUUGGUGGAAAAUGAAUUGGAGGCUAAAUAAUAUAUGAAAUUGAAUCUGAGUGAGUCUAUUUUCACAAGAAAGAAACAGAACAAGCAAAAGAGUUAUAUAUUUUGAAAUAUUUUAAUUUUAGUGAAACAGGGCUGAAUUGAUUUCGAAAUCCCCUGUUCCAACUUUGGAAGAUCACUAAAAAUUGUACAACAAUAAUUAUGGCUUGUAAUUUACAUUCUUGAAUUCCUCAUUCAGUCUGUUUUCAAGAGAAACAAACAAGAACAUCAUUUGAAUUCUGUACAAAGAGAUAAACAAUUUUUAGUAAAGAGGGGUCAGAGCUAUUGAGCAGUGAAACAGGGGAGAGUUUGAAGAAUAAACUGUACUAAUUGGCUAAACCAAAAAUUCUGAAAAUUUUAUGUUUAGAAUAUAUGUGAGUCUAGUUUUGGGUAAAAUUAAUGGAACUUAAUUUAGUGAUAUAAUUCAACUAGAUAGCUUUAAAUUUAAAUAUAAGUGGAUAGUGAAAUUAUGUAUAAUGCUAUUUAAGCCUGC
rnacentral:lncRNA from 1 species